rnacentral:tRNA from 1 species
CUAGCGCAAUGGAUAGUGCGUUGGACUUCCAACUCAAAGGUCGUGGGUUCGAAUCCCACCUAGG